UCAAUGCUCAGUCUAGAGCAGUGGUCUCCAAACUUUUUGGCUCGCGCACCCCCAGUGUGAAGACCGGAAGACCAGCCGCAGGUGCGCCGCCAAUGGAAGAACGACAGAAGACUUACCGCAGGCGGGCUGCCGGAGGGGAACACCAGCCGUGGACGUGCAGAGCUGCCACCGAAGAAAAAAAAUGGCGGAGUGCCGUCCAGCAGCACUCCUGCUGCCGUGCACCCCCGGGGAU